UACAGCCAUAUCGCGUUGAAAUACUUGUUCCCUUACGAUCACUGUAAUUAAGAAACGAUGAGCCUGUUCAGGACCUAGAUGGGUGACCGCUUGGAAAUAUCAGGUGCUGUAA